UGGCGGACGGGUGAGUAAUGUCUGGGAAACUGCCUGAUGGAGGGGGGAUAACUACUGGAAACGGUAGCUAAUACCGCAUAACGUCGCAAGACCAAAGAGGGGGACCUUCGGGCCUCUUGCCAUCGAAUGUGCCCAGAUGGGAUUAGCUAGUAGGUGGGGUAACGGCUCACCUAGGCGACGAUCCCUAGCUGGUCUGAGAGGAUGACCAGCCACACUGGAACUGAGACACGGUCCAGACUCCUACGGGAGGCAGCCAUG
rnacentral:rRNA from 1 species